CAGCCGCCGCGGUAAUACGUAGGUGGCAAGCGUUGUCCGGAAUUAUUGGGCGUAAAGGGCUCGCAGGCGGUUUCUUAAGUCUGAUGUGAAAGCCCCCGGCUCAACCGGGGAGGGUCAUUGGAAACUGGGAAACUUGAGUGCAGAAGAGGAGAGUGGAAUUCCACGUGUAGCGGUGAAAUGCGUAGAGAUGUGGAGGAACACCAGUGGCGAAGGCGACUCUCUGGUCUGUAACUGACGCUGAGGAGCGAAAGCGUGGGGAGCGAACAGGAUUAGAUCCCCUGUAGUCCCUGUCUCUUAUACA
rnacentral:rRNA from 1 species